rnacentral:rRNA from 1 species
GAUGAACGCUGGCGGCGUGCCUAAUACAUGCCAGUCGAGCGAACAGACGAGGAGCUUGCUCCUCUGACGUUAGCGGCGGACGGGUGAGUAACACGUGGAUAACCUACCUAUAAGACUGGGAUAACUUCGGGAAACCGGAGCUAAUACCGGAUAAUAUAUUGAACCGCAUGGUUCAAUAGUGAAAGACGGUUUUGCUGUCACUGAUAGAUGGAUCCGCGCCGCAUUAGCUAGUUGGUAAGGUAACGGCUUACCAAGGCAACGAUGCGUAGCCGACCUGAGAGGGUGAUCGGCCACACUGGAACUGAGACACGGUCCAGACUCCUACGGGAGGCAGCAGUAGGGAAACUUCCGCAAUGGGCGAAAGCCUGACGGAGCAACGCCGCGUGAGUGAUGAAAGUCUUCGGAUCGUAAAACUCUGUUAUUAGGGAAGAACAAAUGUGUAAGUAACUAGGCACGUCUUGACGGUACCUAAUCAGAAAGCCACGGCUAACUACGUG